GUCCAGCUGACGAGUCUUAAAUAGAACGAAACGCACGUCCUGGAU
rnacentral:hammerhead_ribozyme from 1 species